CGUAUUUUUUUGAGGAAACGUCUUGGAUCCAAGAUCUUUCGGGUUUCCCGCAGGCUCACCUGGGUUUCGUUGCCAAAAGUGAAAAAGUUGAAGCGAGGCCCCAUGAUUGCAAAAUUAUCAGCAUUGCUAGCUCGUGUCGAGGAUGCAGAUGAAAGACGCGAAAGAUUCAAUAUUUCUCCACGAGAAACCAGCACACAUGACCAUUCACAAGCCGCCAGCACCAGUGUCGGUCACCUCAUGGCCCAACUUCCUAUCCAACUCCACGUCGACAAGCUCAUCAGGCUGCUGGCCUUGGACCAUGACGACAAUGUGAUAGAGAAAAAACUCAAGGUGGUAACUAUCUUUGGACCUGCAAGUGCUGACAAGACAGCAGUUGUGAGGACCUUUUAUCACCAGUAUGGAGGGAAGUUCCAGUACCGGGCUUUUCUAUGUGUGUCUCGAGAUCCAGAUAUGUGGAGGCUUCUCACAGACAUGAUCUCACAAAUCAAGGCGCCACUGACGCAUAACAUUUCUGAUGUCCAAGGACUUACUGGUGGUAUCACCAAACAUCUGCAAGGAAAAAGGUAUUUCCUAUCAGUUAAUUAAACAAAUCCUACUGUGAUAUUCAUAAAAUGAAGCUAAUGGCAACUAAUAUACUUCUGAAUUACUGUAUCUUUGGGGCUGUCUGGAUUAAACCCCAAAUAAAGGCCAAAAUGAAGCUUUGUUAACCAUUUUUACAUAAAAAAAGAGUAAAAUAGUAAAACUAAAUGCAAAGGGGAUACCUUGCUGUCAUACCAAUUGAAAGAUCAAGUCUAUCAACUAGGGGGGCAAAAAUAGGAGAUUUUUUAGCCAGAUCUUUGUAUGUGAUACAUAUUUUCUGUGUAAUUUGGUCCUGCCUUCUGUAUCUUGUUAUGUUUAUCUCUUGUCUUUUGUGUUAAAAUAGUAAUAUAUUUCGUUUGGCCGAAAAAAACUGCAGGUACUUAAUUAUAAUAGAUGAUCUAUGGUCCACGCCAGUCUGGGAUAUUAUUAUCUGAGCUCUCCCUGAUGGUGAUUAUUGCAGAAUAAUAGCGACAACACAGGUUGAGGAUGUAGCACUGGCAUGCUGCAGUUACCAGUUAAAGCAUAUAUAUAAGAUUACUCCUCUUAAUGAUGAUCAAUCAGGAGAAUCCGAGGGUGGUUGUACUACAUAUUCUAGUUCCAAAGGGUUGAAAGAAGCUCUAAACCUUGUGUAUAAUAAUCUUCCACCCCAUUUGAAGGCAUGCUUGUUAUAUAUGAAUAUGUAUCCAGAAGGGUACACGACCAGGAAGGAUGAAUUGGUGAAGCAAUGGGUUGCUGAAGAUUUUAUCGGCUCAGUACAAGGACAAGACAGAGAGAACACCGCAGGAUGUUAUUUUGAUGCUCUCGUCAGUAGUGGACUGGUCCAGUCCGUAGAUACCGAUCAUAAUGGUGAUGUGUUGUCAUGUACGCUUCACCACAUGGUGCUGGAUCUUAUCAGACAAAAAUCCAUGGAGGAAAACUUUGUCACUGUUGUGAACUACUCCCUCCGUUCCAAAAUAGAUGACCCAACUUUGUAUUAACUUUAGUAUAAAGUUGGGUCAUCUAUUUUGGGACGGAGGGAGUAUUUUCAAACAAUUCUAGGACUUCCUGACAAGGUCCGUAGACUGUCUGUCCAGUUGGGAGGUGCAAAAGGUGCAAAUACUAUACCAGACAAUAUGAGAACAUCCCAAGUUAGAUCACUAGUAUUUUCUGGAUUCUUCAAAGGUGUACCCUCCAUUGUAGAAUAUGGGCUUCUUCAAGUUUUGAUUCUUCAUAUUUUGUCUGAUCAAGACAAGACUUUUGACCUCACUUCAAUUGGUGAACUAUAUCGACUGAGAUAUCUGAAGAUUGAGUGUAAUAUCACCGUCAAGCUUCCAGGCAAGAUUCGAAGGCUGCGGCACUUGGGUACUCUGCAGGUAGAUGCAAGAUUAGCGGUUGUUCUAUCUGAUAUUAUUCAUCUGGAUAAGUUGCUGCACCUCCGCCUUCGGAGCGAGUCUAUUUUGCCUCAUGGGGUUGGCCAUAUGACAUCUCUUCGUACUCUGAGUUAUUUUGAUCUCAACAGUAACCCAAAGAUCAAUUUGAUGGAUCUUCAGAAGCUGACAAAUCUGCAGAAUCUUCAGCUCACCUGUUCUACAGUACCGCCAGCUGAAUGCCUUGAAAAGAAUAUGCAACUCCUGAGCUCAGUCCUUAACAAACUUAGCAUCCUGCAGUCUGUAACUCUUGUACCUGCUACAGGCUCCUCCAAUGUAAAUACUUUACAGGCUGAUAAUGAUACUGGUGCUUCAAGCAUGAUCAUUUCAUGUGAUGGCUUCAGCAGCAUGUCCCCUGCCCCAGCCCAUCUUCGGAGAUUCGAGUUGUCACGUCGCUGCUGCAUCUUCUCCAGACUCCCAAAGUGGCUUGGUGAACUUGCGCAACUCUGCGUUCUUAAGAUUGCAGUUAAGGAGCUAUCGAAGGAAGAUACUGAUAUCAUGAAAGGAUUGCCUGCCCUCACUGUUCUGUCGUUGCAUGUCAUGACAACGUCUGCAGAAAUGAUUGUCUUUGGCAAGGGAGGGUUCUCAGUUCUCAUAUACUUAAAGUUCACGUGCACUGUGCCUUGGCUGAAAUUUGAAGAGAAUGCAAUGCCUAACCUCCAGAAGCUCAGGCUAGGUUUCAACGCAAUGGUAGUGGAUAAACAAGGGAUCAUUAUUGAGCACUUGUCAUCCAUUAAAGAGAUAUCUGCAAUAAUUGGUUGUGUGAGCGUUGGUGCAGGGUCUGCCUGCCAGAAAACUAUUAUGAAUGAUCCAAGAAAUCCUAAGGUGCAAUGGAUGGGCUCGAUUUUUGUUGGCGACGAAGGUACAGGAUACGUGGUGACACAUGAAGCCCAGGAAUAUUACAGACCUCAAGGUAAGGUUUAUGGGACAAGUGAAAUCAGGUAUGAAACUGAUGGAAUUCAAGAUGAGAAAAAAGAAACCGCUAGUAAAAACAAUCCAAGAAAUCAAAUGGUGCAAUCCAUGGGUUCAACUUAUUAUGGUGGCGAAGGUAGAGAAAUGGUGACACACAGUGGCAGACCCAGAAACCGAGCAAGGGAGGAGCUAAGUGGGACAAUGAUGAGGCUGAAGGUGCUGGUCUGGUUCUUGACGCCCAUCACUGUGCUGGGCAGGUUGCUAAUGCCCAUGAUCCCCAUACUUCUGGCCAUAACCAUGUUGGGAUGGUUGCUCUCGCUCAUCAUCCGCUUGGUCUCUUUGAAGCAGCAUUCCAUGACCACCGAAAACAUAUUUUAACACUCCUGCGCCCCGGCCCGCUUAUCUGGUACGUCCAUAUACACGGGGAUCUGGGCCAGCCGUUUCCGUAAGAUUCACAGGCCACGGUUAUAUGGUGCGUGUUAGUUGUGACCCGGGACGUGAUCCACCUACUACAUAGCGUAGGGCACUGUACACCGAGAUAAGGACAAACGCUAUCGGACACUACAGGAGGCGGCCCGUGACUCUGUGUUUCAUCUGCGUCCCCCCUUGUAUCUAGCAUGCUGGGCGGCGGGGGAGGGGAAUUCAGCUAAAGCAGCUACUCGCGACUCCGGCGUGAGUCCCAUAUCGGAAUCCGCCCAGCCGCCGUCGGUAGAGGAGGAUAAGUUCUUGGGAGAUAUGAACGAGCAGACGCACGGCUUCCCACCAUUACUGCUCGGGCGCUGGUGUGCUCCUGAUUCUUCCAGUACAAGAUGGAGUAGUACACACACCAGAUAAGAUUGGAUUGCCGGUGGCGAUGUUGAAUCUGUGGUCCGGCACAAAAUCCACACGAAAAGGGGAUUCAGAAGCCUGCUCAUACGGGAAACAUAGUUGGAUUAGAUCCCACCCCAGACAAGCAACGCGAAGAGUAAUGGAAGCAGCUGCAUCAGUGCGUACCUAUGGCCGGCCGCCGGAUUGAUGUUGCAGCCGAGCGCCGGCGCCAUCGAAUCGCCGCCCUGCGGCCCAUCCAUCUAGCUAUAAGUCAAAGAGCAAGAGAAGAGAGAGUCAGAUGUGUUCACGGGCUUGCAGCAGGGGAGGGGGCGGCGGUGGAAGACAAAGCUACACUGAGCCAUAGAUGGAGCAGUAGUGCAGUACCCACGUGACCACAGCGACGGUAAUAGCCUGCUACCACAGUGACAGUUUCAACAAAACUGGCUUACUUGUCGGGCAUCUCGAGAUACAGUGAAAAGAUUCUACCGCUGGGAUAACGCGGCCCCGGCGCAGAUGCUCUAAAAAUCCGCAUCCCCAUGACCACUCGAUGGGAUUUUGCCGCAGCUGCCUUGGUCAUUGUGCUGGGCUGGUUGCGUCGAUCGAUCCAAGAAGCUCCUGGAGCUGGAGAUCCGCAUCAUCCCAGAACUGCAGCAGGCGAUGCAGGCAGAGGAUGACGCAGAAAGCAAAUAAAUUGAAAUCUGAUGUGGCCAAGCUGGACAAGAUGGCCGCCAUGCUGAGGCACGCCCAUGAGGAAGUGGAAGACAUCUUCGAUGAUGCUAAGCAAAAGAUCGUCAGUGGCCAUAUCCUCUAUGGCGCCGUGCAGACCUGCAUUGGUUGCUUCAACAGGAGCUGUCUGGGGAUUACAGGCAUCGCCCAGUGCGGAUCGUCUCGGCUACUGCAAUGGACGCAGAGCAUCUCCGCGUUGCUUCGGUGGUUCCGACGCAUGAAUGGAUUUCUGUUCUCUACCACAUGUUAUGCCCACACCCCCUCAAAUUUCUCGGGGAGAUGGUUCUGUUGCUUGUACAGCUCCUUUGGCUUGUUCAUUAACUGUUGCAGGUCCAUGUUCUACUGGAUAGUUCAUGCGAUUGAGUGUGCCUGCUUGUAUCGAGGCUGGUCCUAUGACGUGGUUGGCAUCAUAGGUUACCAGGUACACACACCCAACCUCACCUAUAUUAGUUUAAUUAAGGUUUAAACUAGUCCUAUGUUAAACUUUGUGAGUAUACGUAGGUAUAAACCGUAAACACAUGGAAGAAAUAUUCUUUUGUUAUCCAAGUUGUCAUGUAAUGUGGUAUGUGGAAAUACUUGAUAUACUCCCUGUUUAAAGUUUCUCUUUCAAACCGGACAAUGCCUUUGGUGACCGAGCUCACUGGAGGCCUCCAAAUUCAAAUUUCAAAUUUCAUUAAAAUUCAUAAUUUUACAUAUGAAAAUUUUCUGAAAAAAAUUACAGAUACAUGAAGGCAUAACACAUAUGUGUGUAAAUUUUCAGGGAAAAAUACAUUGAAAUGAGGGUUGUGCAAAAAAGACAAAUAUGGGGCUGUUUAACACAUGAUACUUUUAAUCCUUCCAGGCCAUGAAUUUGUCUUUUUUAUACAGGUCGCAUUUCAACGUAUUUCAUCCUGAAAUUUUACACACAUGUGGGUUACAUCCUUACAUACACGCAAUUUUUUUUCAAUUUUUUUUCAAACAUAGAAGUUUGAAUUUAAUUUUUUUUUUAAAUAAAGGCCUCCAUGGAGCUCGGCCUCCAAAAUGCCAUUCUCAUAUAAAAAGUUUAUACGGGACAACAUUCCAUGACCAAUUGGUGGCUAAGAUCCAAUACACCCUACAUCACAGGAGGUAAGUAGAGCACCCUAAAAUAAGAGAUCUAAGUAUGUGUAUGCAUGAUUAAUUUGUUACCAUCUGAACCAACCCUUCAACAAUUUUGUCCGAGUUAUGCUUGUUGGCGUUGUUAAGUGGUCGUAACAGGAUGUUAUUUUACUGUACUUGAAUAUAAUAAUGUUUCAACAAACAAACACGGGGUGGUUUUCAUAGUAGUAGCUAUGUGCUUGUGUUUUGUACUGAGUUCCGAGAUUGCUAGUACGUAUUUCCCCGUCACCAUUUCAUUAAUCGAAUAUACUUAAUUAGCACCGGUUGUUUCGGUACCUGACCUGACACAAAUUUUGGUUGAGCUCCACAUCUGAAGAAGAGGAGAAGUGCCCGCUCUGUUCCGCCACAUCU
rnacentral:lncRNA from 1 species